rnacentral:tRNA from 1 species
GGUCGUGUGGCCUAAUGGAUAAGGCAUCGGACUUCGGAUCCGAAGAUUGCAGGUUCGAGCCCUGCUACGAUCA